GGGAAACGACCAAAGGGGCCAGCCUCAGGCCCCACAACAAACUGGGGCA
rfam:Homo sapiens chromosome 10, GRCh38 reference primary assembly.